rnacentral:siRNA from 1 species
AGAUACGACCUUAUGUCAGGGUA